UGUACGAGGUCCCAAUUUCAAUCUCUGGUACCUCCUAAAAAAAUCAGUGUUCAAAAGACAGUACCAUAGAAAUUCAGUAUCUGACAUCAUUGGUUUUCUCGACUUUGUGCAUGUUAAAGUUGAUAUUUCUAUUGAUACAGUG
rnacentral:snoRNA from 1 species